GAUUUUGAUUUCUGCUGAUGAUUGGUUUGGUCGGAAUUCUGGCAAAUUUUGAGGGUCCAACGAUAACAGAGGUAGAAGGUGUGCCUUUGAUUUUUUUUCUUUAUAUAAAGCAGUGUUCUAAAAAGCGGUCUAGGCGGUCGCCUAGGCCCCGACUAGGCGCUACGCUCUCAUUCGACGCCUAGAUAACCGCCUUGACCGCCUAAAAUUACAUAGAUCUUGUUUUAAUGUAUUUUUUCAAUUUCAAUUAGAGUUUUAUUUAUAUAUAUAGUUAUAAAUAUUUAUAUAUUAUUUAAUAUAAAUAUAAAUAAAUAUUUUAUCUAGUUUUUGUUUAUAAUUUCAUAAUUUUUAGUUUUAUAUUGAUAUUUUAUAUAACUUUUAUAUAUAAUAUCAUAUUUAUAAUGUAUUAUGUUAUAAACAUCUAAACCGCCUAAAAAAUCGCCUAGGCCCCGAUUAGGCGUUCUAGGCGCUAGGCACUGGGUCACCGCCCGCUUAGCGCCUAGCGCUUUCUUGAACACUGAUAUAAAGUUGUAAAUGAAUUUAGUUAUAAAAACCAGUAUAGCUUUUGAAAAGUAUUCUAUGAAACAUCAAAUUGUUAUAGGAAAUAAAAAUCUUUCUUUGGGUUCUUGCCAAUGUUGGUCAAAAUGUCAUAUGAAACUUACUUCAGAUUGAAGAAAGAAUGUAAUAUAGAAUUGAUUUAACAAGGAGAAAAGCUUAGUGAGAUUCUUAAGUGGGAUUGAAAGAUCAAUCUUAA
rnacentral:lncRNA from 1 species